GCAGCAGGCAGCAUAAAUUGAAUCAGAAUCCAUGUUCUACACAAUGGAGUUAUUAUUAUCAGUACAAGGACAGAAAAGGUAGCUUAUUCUUUGUUUCUGUAAUGGUGGACACAGUUGCUGCUGCUGUUAUUUCUGAUGUAGAACCCUCCAGCUGAAUGCAUAGCAUGAAAAUGUAAAUUAGUUGCAUUAUAUUUUCAAGUAGUAGGUUAACUAAAUUUAUUUUCUUUAAUAUUUAUUUUUAGCUUUAUAUUGUAAUUAUGCCUUAAAAUCUCAUGUACAAAUGCUGGAAAUAGUAAUUUCUUAUUGUCCAAGGCACCAGGCAUGUGGAAGGUGAUAAAAAAGCUUGUUUCUAGGUAUUUCACACAUUUCGGGGCUUUGAAUUGCGCUGGGUGCAUGAGACUUUUCACCAGGCGCCUUCUGUACUGAUGUGGCUUACGCUAGGCUCAUGAUCUGGGGAAAAGCAGCCAGUGCUGCUGAUCUGUUGUGCUAGAUGCACGAGGCCUUGCGUGAGGCGCAUAUAAGCAGUUUUUCAGCAUCAUUUGAAUUCACAACACUUUAAAAUGCACAAUGAGAUUGUACUAUAUUAUUACAUUAUAUUCUUGAGAAGGUUUGAUGGUAGUAUCAGUUUCUCCAGGUGGAUAUUGUUGGUUUAUCAAGAACAGAUACAUUAGUGAUCUUGAGCUAUUAGUUCCAUCAAUUUACUAAGGCUUUAGACCAUUGAAUAAGUAAUUAUUUGGAGAGAAAUAUCCCAUGGUCUGUGAAUUACUUCAGAAUGCUAUUGAAGGUAUCUCUAAAUUAGUAACAUUUCCAACAAUUCCAUGUUCGGCCUUUGGUGUUUGUUUCGUUUUCAUCUGCACGAAAAGUAGCAUAUUUGAUUCAAA